GACAGAGGAUGCAAGCGUUAUCCGGAAUGAUUGGGCGUAAAGCGUCUGUAGGUGGCUUUUUAAGUCCGCCGUCAAAUCCCAGGGCUCAACCCUGGACAGGCGGUGGAAACUACCAAGCUGGAGUACGGUAGGGGCAGGAGGGAAUUUCCGGUGGAGCGGUGAAAUGCGUAGAGAUCGGAAAGAACACCAACGGCGAAAGCAGCUCGCUGGGACGGUACUGACGCUGAGACGCGAAAGCGUGGGGAGCAAACAGG
rnacentral:rRNA from 1 species